AUAGCACUCCACGCCGUCUCACUAGCUGACGCUUAACAAAAGCAAGGCCAAACCAGAAGAGGUACCUAAACCCUCAAAACCUCCGAUGACGAAAGAGGGCCAAACCGAAAAAACAAAAUCACUACUUUCUUAGAUCCACUCUUUCUCUUUUCUCUUCCGCUUGAUGAACAAUCCAGAACAUGCCCUCUCUGUGACUCAUUCGCAGAUUAAGUUUAAUCCCAGCGGUUAGUGUAGAGGUGGAUUUGUUGCAUUCGUAAAUCAAAUGGAGGAGCAAGCUUUUUUUGAUAAAAUGAUCAGCCACCUUCGCAGCACUUGCAAGUAUUACACCGGGUAUCCAAAAGAUCUUGGGCCAUCAAAGGUUGUUCAUUUUAAGUCAGAGCGUGAAUUUGUCCAGCUUCUUCAUGAGGGCCGUCCUAUUGUUGUUGCUUUUACCAUUAGAGGUAAUUAUACAAAACAUCUUGAUAGAGUACUUGAGGAAGCUGCUUCUGAAUUUUAUCCACAUGUAAAAUUUGUCCGUGUUGAAUGUCCAAAAUAUCCUGGGUUCUGUAUAACACGACAGAGGAAGGAAUAUCCAUUUGUUGAAAUAUUCCAUAGUCCUGAACAAGCAAACAAUCAAGGAAGGGUUGUUGAUCCAGGGAUCACAAGAUACUCUGUAAAAGUUCUACCUUUCAACUAUGACCUCAGUUCCUAUGGAUUUCGAGAGUUUUUCAAGCGCCACAACAUAAAAUCAUCAGACCCAAAAUAAGGCAUGGUGGGGGAUUGAUGUUAUCUAAUGUAAUGUCUAUAGUUUAAAAACCAUGUCUAAAAUUGUUUACAGUGAGGAUCCUGAAAUGUCUGAUUAUUGCUUUAACAUUUGGUUUGAAGCUUAUACCCACUGAACUUUAGUUUUCAUGGUCCAACUGUAGAGAUGUUAUAUGAUGCUUAAUAUUGUGUAAGCAUUUGUGAGAAAGGGCGCUGUGAAGAGAGACCUUUGGUAAGUGGGCUGAAGCUUCAAGUCCAUUAGGCGUCAGCCCAUAACCACAUUGCCAAUAACAUGAUAAACUUCUACUUGGGAUGA